GACAACUGCGGCCCCCAACCAUGUAGUAACAGACAUGAUGUCUAUAUCUGGAGGCUGCUCACAUGCCUCCUCGUUGGUUCGGUCUGGCAAUGUGGCCCCCAACCAGGAAACGUUGUGCACCCCUGGUCUAGAGGAAAGUUUCAUUAUGGUAUUGGUUGUGUGAGAUCGGCUGCAGUCAUCGAUAAUAAGAAUGUGGAACAAACAACAUCAUGAACAGAGGAAACGACAAAGUAAAGUGAAUCGUGCAGAGAAAUAACGUGGAAUAGUUCAUACAAUAACCGGCCUGAUCCCAGGUGUGUAAACAGUGAAGAAGUGCAAUCCAACCCACGCGUUUCAGGCAGCAAGCACCACACAGACACAACAUUACAAUGACGACAAACCUGUAAACUCUAGAGUAGACCUGAAUAACACUGAGUAUGGUUUCUUCUUGUGCUGGAGUCUGAUAUGUUAUUUGAGUUGUCAGCUGACUUUCUGAAGGUCUAGUUGUCAGCAGACUGUGCUCUAAUGCCUAUGGUCAUCUUGAAGGGCUUUUUGAUGCCAUCAAUUUUUUUUUUUU